GGUCACCACUAGGGGUGCCCUGGAUCGUUCGCGAUCCUCAUGGCUGAGAUCACACCCUCUGAACCUGAUCCGGGUCAUUCCGGCGAUAGGGAAGUGACCAAUGUGAUCC
rfam:Synechococcus sp. MIT S9508 MITS9508_contig000002, whole genome shotgun sequence.